AUUAACAAAUGAUAACUGUAUAUCAAUCAACCUGCCAACAAAGCUAUAAAACUAAAAUAUACUGAGCCCAAAAAGAAUUCAAAUCAAUUUACUAGAAACCUUUAUUUUAAAGUCAGAUGUUCCUGGGAAUCAUCUCCUUGUGAGCCUGAACAAGAACUUAACAAAGCCUUGUCUGAAUUAUCUUGGUCAUAGUAGAAUAUAAUAAUAACAACAUAGACUGUAUAAUAAUGACUUCACACCCCAGAACAUCUACAUCUUAACACUUGAAACUCAUAAAUGCAUGAAUUUGUUAAUUUACAUGAUAAAAGGGAGAUUGUAGAUGUGAUUAUGUCAAGGGUCAUAACAUGGAAAGAUUCUACUAUAUUAUGCUGGUGUGUCCAAU
rnacentral:lncRNA from 1 species